GAUGAACGCUGGCGGCGUGCCUAAUACAUGCAAGUCGAGCGAAUGGAUUAAGAGCUUGCUCUUAUGAAGUUAGCGGCGGACGGGUGAGUAACACGUGAGUAACCUGCCCAUAAGACUGGGAUAACUCCGGGAAACCGGGGCUAAUACCGGAUAACAUUUUGAACCGCAUGGUUCGAAAUUGAAAGGCGGCUUCGGCUGUCACUUAUGGAUGGACCCGCGUCGCAUUAGCUAGUUGGUGAGGUAACGGCUCACCAAGGCAACGAUGCGUAGCCGACCUGAGAGGGUGAUCUGCCACACUGGGACUGAGACACGGCCCAGACUCCUACGGGAGGCAGCAGUAGGGAAUCUUCCGCAAUGGACGAAAGUCUGACGGAGCAACGCCGCGUGAGUGAUGAAGGCUUUCGGGUCGUAAAACUCUGUUGUUAGGGAAGAACAAGUGCUAGUUGAAUAAGCUGGCACCUUGACGGUACCUAACCAGAAAGCCACGGCUAACUACGUACCAGCCGCCGCAGUAA
rnacentral:rRNA from 1 species